rnacentral:rRNA from 1 species
GAUGAACGCUGGCGGCGUGCUUAACACAUGCAAGUCGAACGAAGCAUUUACGACAGAUUUCUUCGGAUUGAAGUUGUUUAUGACUGAGUGGCGGACGGGUGAGUAACGCGUGGGUAACCUGCCUCAUACAGGGGGAUAGCAGCUGGAAACGGCUGGUAAUACCGCAUAAGCGCACAGCAUCACAUGAUGCAGUGUGAAAAACUCCGGUGGUAUGAGAUGGACCCGCGUCUGAUUAGCUGGUUGGUGAGGUAACGGCCACCAAGGCGACGAUCAGUAGCCGACCUGAGAGGGUGACCGGCCACAUUGGGACUGAGACAGGCCCAGACUCCUACGGGAGGCAGCAGUGGGAUA